UACGUAGGCAGCAAGCGUUGUUCGGAGUUACUGGGCGUAAAGGGUGUGUAGGCGGUCCUCUAAGUCUGGUGUGAAAUCUCCCGGCUCAACUGGGAGGGUGCGCCGAAAACUGGAAGGCUAGAGUGCGGGAUGGGAGAGUGGAAUUCCUGGUGUAGCGGUGAAAUGCGUAGAUAUCGAGAGGAACACCUGCGGCGAAGGCGGGUUGCUGGGCUGAUACUGACGUGAGGCGCGAAAGCUAGGGGAGCGAACGGG
rnacentral:rRNA from 1 species